rnacentral:rRNA from 1 species
UGCGCGUGCUAUACAUGCAAGUCGAACGAACUCUGGUAUUGAUUGGUGCUUGCAUCAUGAUUUACAUUUGAGUGAGUGGCGAACUGGUGAGUAACACGUGGGAAACCUGCCCAGAAGCGGGGGAUAACACCUGGAAACAGAUGCUAAUACCGCAUAACAACUUGGACCGCAUGGUCCGAGUUUGAAAGAUGGCUUCGGCUAUCACUUUUGGAUGGUCCCGCGGCGUAUUAGCUAGAUGGUGAGGUAACGGCUCACCAUGGCAAUGAUACGUAGCCGACCUGAGAGGGUAAUCGGCCACAUUGGGACUGAGACACGGCCCAAACUCCUACGGGAGGCAGCAGUAGGGAAUCUUCCACAAUGGACGAAAGUCUGAUGGAGCAACGCCGCGUGAGUGAAGAAGGGUUUCGGCUCGUAAAACUCUGUUGUUAAAGAAGAACAUAUCUGAGAGUAACUGUUCAGGUAUUGACGGUAUUUAACCAGAAAGCCACGGCUAACUACGUGCCAGCAGCCGCGGUAAUACGUAGGUGGCAAGCGUUGUCCGGAUUUAUUGGGCGUAAAGCGAGCGCAGGCGGUUUUUUAAGUCUGAUGUGAAAGCCUUCGGCUCAACCGAAGAAGUGCAUCGGAAACUGGGAAACUUGAGUGCAGAAGAGGACAGUGGAACUCCAUGUGUAGCGGUGAAAUGCGUAGAUAUAUGGAAGAACACCAGUGGCGAAGGCGGCUGUCUGGUCUGUAACUGACGCUGAGGCUCGAAAGUAUGGGUAGCAAACAGGAUUAGAUACCCUGGUAGUCCAUACCGUAAACGAUGAAUGCUAAGUGUUGGAGGGUUUCCGCCCUUCAGUGCUGCAGCUAACGCAUUAAGCAUUCCGCCUGGGGAGUACGGCCGCAAGGCUGAAACUCAAAGGAAUUGACGGGGGCCCGCACAAGCGGUGGAGCAUGUGGUUUAAUUCGAAGCUACGCGAAGAACCUUACCAGGUCUUGACAUACUAUGCAAAUCUAAGAGAUUAGACGUUCCCUUCGGGGACAUGGAUACAGGUGGUGCAUGGUUGUCGUCAGCUCGUGUCGUGAGAUGUUGGGUUAAGUCCCGCAACGAGCGCAACCCUUAUUAUCAGUUGCCAGCAUUAAGUUGGGCACUCUGGUGAGACUGCCGGUGACAAACCGGAGGAAGGUGGGGAUGACGUCAAAUCAUCAUGCCCCUUAUGACCUGGGCUACACACGUGCUACAAUGGAUGGUACAACGAGUUGCGAACUCGCGAGAGUAAGCUAAUCUCUUAAAGCCAUUCUCAGUUCGGAUUGUAGGCUGCAACUCGCCUACAUGAAGUCGGAAUCGCUAGUAAUCGCGGAUCAGCAUGCCGCGGUGAAUACGUUCCCGGGCCUUGUACACACCGCCCGUCACACCAUGAGAGUUUGUAACACCCAAAGUCGGUGGGGUAACCUUUUAGGAACCAGCCGCCUAAGGUGGGACAGAUGAUUAGGGUGAAGUCGUAACAAGAGCGAGC